GACGAACGCUGGCGGCGUGCUUAACACAUGCAAGUCGAACGGUGAAGCUCUAGCUUGCUAGGGUGGAUGGGUGGCGAACGGGUGAGUAACACGUGAGUAACCUGCCCCCCUCUUUGGGAUAACUACAAGAAAUUGUGGCUAAUACUGGAUAUUUUGGCUCUGUCGCAUGGUGGGGUCAUGAAAGGUUUUCUGGUGGGGGAUGGGCUCGCGGCCUAUCAGCUUGUUGGUGGGGUGAUGGCCUACCAAGGCUUUGACGGGUAGCCGGCCUGAGAGGGUGACCGGUCACACUGGGACUGAGAUACGGCCCAGACUCCUACGGGAGGCAGCAGUGGGGAAUAUUGCACAAUGGGCGAAAGCCUGAUGCAGCGACGCCGCGUGGAGGAUGACGGCCUUCGGGUUGUAAACUCCUUUCGCUAGGGAAAAAGGCAUUCUUUUGUGGGGUGUUGAUUGUACUUGGUAAAGAAGCGCCGGCUAACUACGUGCCAGCAGCCGCGGUAAUACGUAGGGCGCGAGCGUUGUCCGGAAUUAUUGGGCGUAAAGAGCUCGUAGGCGGUUUGUCGCGUCUGUCGUGAAAUCCCAUGGCUUAACUGUGGGCUUGCGGUGGGUACGGGCAGGCUUGAGUGCGGUAGGGGAGACUGGAAUUCCUGGUGUAGCGGUGGAAUGCGCAGAUAUCAGGAGGAACACCGGUGGCGAAAGCGGGUCUCUGGGCCGUUACUGACACUGAGGAGCGAAAGCAUGGGGAGCGAACAGGAUUAGAUACCCCUGGUA
rnacentral:rRNA from 1 species